AACACCAACAACAAAUGGCCGUUUUGAAAAACUGAGGCCUUUGACGGAGCAGCUCUCUGUCUUGUGUCCGGAUGAACAUGCUGGGAGGACGACGCCAUCAAAAGGUGCCCAAAGCGCUGAGACGGCGCAGCCGAUACAAAGGCGGUGAAAGCCUUUGGAAGCCAAAUGCUCAGAGGUGGCGCCCGGCAUCUCUCCGUAUUAGUUUUGAAACGGGGAAGAUUGCGACCCAGAAGUAAGGAAUUCGGCAGCUUCCUAUGGGUGUGCUGAGAGGAGGUGGUUCUGAAGUAUUGUCCUGUCUUGGAGAAGGAAACAGAGGGGCUGAGAGGAUUGUCUGAGGCUAUUUGAGAAUUUGGCAGACUGGCAUGGAAGCUGUCUCUUCUCCAAGAG